AAAAUAAGAAUGAUAAUCCUACAUAAGUUUUGUUGUAGAACAAAACUGAUAAUCUAAAAACAGUAUUGACAAUAAGAGUACUUACUUUAUGUCUGUCUGUAUUCUUAUGUAUGUGUGUGUUUUAUUGAAUACAAUGAAAGGGAUUUUACUGUUAGAUUGUAAUGUGCUUUAAACAUUCAACAAUUGAUAAGUAAUCUUUUUAUUACAAUGUAAUACUCUUUUGCUUUAAGUGCUGUGAUUUACAAAUAUAUAAUAUUAUUGUGAAGUCAGCCUUGAUACUUUUAUUUUCGUAAAUUGACGAAUCAAGAUUCUAUUUAUAUACUUGUUUAUUUUGUUACAAAGCAGUAUUGAGCAAGAUACUUAAAUUUAGCUUUACCUAAAAACAAAUGAAAACCAGUUCAUUUACACCCUUAACAAGAAAUAGAUAUUUAAAGAAUUUAAAUAACAUGCAGAUAUUUUUUUAUGAAGCACAGAACCAUGAAGUUAAUUAUAUGACCAUUUUACUGAUUACCUAUAUAUUGUAUUAUGAUUUCAUUUGUGUAAUGAAGGAUAUGGUCAUGAAAUCCUCUGUAAACAAAUUGAAUUUCAUGUUCUCGGGACAUCUGUUGAUGUAAAUAAUAAAAAGAUAAUAGAUAAAAAAGAAAGUUUUGAUUUUCACCUGGCAUAUAUAUUGUUUUAAAAAAAGUCGAGGUGAAAACUAGUUGGUUUACUUUUUUCGAGAAAAAAAACUCAGAAAAAAUUCUUACCUGCUUCCAUUUAAUGAAUAUUUGUCAUGAAAUGACUCUAAGAAGAAGUUUUUGACCUGAAUGAUAAAUUAUUAUAAUUAAAAAUCUAUACCUUUUAUAAAUACUUAACUAGUCCAAACUAUUUUAUGGCAUUGUAAUUGUUUGAAUGUAAAAUUCUUUGUUACAAAUUUUAUGAAAUAAUUUUAUUUAAUAAAGAAAACUAAAGAUCUAAGGACUAAAUGUUCUUACAAUUAACUGAAUUAAAGAAAGUAAAAUAACAUGCUUAUGUUGGGAGAUGGACAUAUGUUUUACUGAAUUUUAAAGUUCAUGUUUGAAAUGUGUGAUUUUAUACCAAGUCUCAAAUUGGUUGUCAUAUUAUAAGGAUGUUUCUACAUUAUUGCUUCACCUCAAACACAAUGAUUUAUUCACCUGGGGUUGAAGUCAUAAAACUUUGCUUAGUGCUUGGAGCACAAAAAUCAUGCUCGAAACAUGAAAUCCAACAUUUUCAUUGUUUGAUUUUCGAGUACGAGUACAAAAAACUGACUCAAAAGUUUUAUGACAGCAAGGACUACUGUUCUAUAUAAAAGAUUCAUAUUUUCCUUUAAGCAUGUUAUAAUUUUUCAUUGUUUGUAAUUUCAAAAUCAGAAGAUAAAUCCCAAUGUAUUUUGUUUACAAAUUAAGAGUAAUACGAGUUUACUAUUUUCAUUAUUUGAUUGUUUUAUUUUACAUGGUGAAAGAAGUUUUGAAGAAGGUUUUAAUCUUAUUUGUAUCCAUAGAUUAUGCUCUUCAUAAAAUCUGUAUUAAUGGACGAUAAAAACGUGAUUAAAGAAGAAGUAACUUAAUUUCAGCAAUGAGAACAAAUUUUAAUCAAAUCAUUUUCCAUUUAUGUAUCAUUAUUAUAUGCAAAUGCAAUCAUUGAGAUUAUUGUAUAGAAUUAGGAAUGGGCUAUUCCUUAAUUAAAUCCAGGUGGUAAAAGGCACUGAAAAUGAAAAAAAAACAAGGUAUGGGGAUUCCAAAACAAUCUUUUGCACAAAAGUUAGUUAAAUUACUUAAUAAAUUAGCAUGAGUGAGGUAUUGCAGAAUUAGGUACCUGAUCUACAUGAUAAAAACAUUAAAUUAGAUGAUAUAUAUUGUGGUAAAAAUUUUGAAAACUAUCUCGUUACUUUCAUCAUUUGAGAAUGUAUGUGUUUAACAAUGAAUUUGAAUGAAAAUGACAAAAUAAAUAGCUUUAAAAUAGCAGAAAAGUUAAAAUUAUUGAAAAUAAUCAGUUUAGUAAUAGUCUUGAGAAUACUUUGUUUUUGAUGCUCAGGAUUUUGACUAUUUUAUAUAUUUUCCAUGAACUUCAACAUGAUUCAUUUUAUUUGUUAUUAUAAUGAACUACUGAAGUGCCUUUGAAAAUAUAGUUAACAAUAUGAGUGUUUGUUGAUUUUCAGUUUUUGUAAACAAUUGUAUAAAACAUUUGUUAUUGAGAUAUUAAACCACUUACUAC
rnacentral:lncRNA from 1 species